rnacentral:rRNA from 1 species
UACGGAGGGAGCUAGCGUUAUUCGGAAUUACUGGGCGUAAAAGCGCACGUAGGCGGCUUUGUAAGUUAGAGGUGAAAGCCUGGAGCUCAACUCCAGAAUUGCCUUUAAGACUGCAUCGCUUGAAUCCAGGAGAGGUGAGUGGAAUUCCGAGUGUAGAGGUGAAAUUCGUAGAUAUUCGGAAGAACACCAGUGGCGAAGGCGACUAACUGGACAUGUAUUGACGCUGAGGUGCGAAAAGCGUGGGGGAGCAAACAGGGAUUAGAUACCCCGGG